rnacentral:rRNA from 1 species
GUGACCGAGCGACGCCGCGUGUGGGAUGAAGGCCUUCGGGUCGUAAACCACUGUCAGUAGGGAAGAAUGCCCGGAUGGUGAAUCCGGGAGGGACGGUACCUGCAGAGGAAGCCACGGCUAACUCCGUGCCAGCAGCCGCGGUAAUACGGAGGCGGCAAGCGUUGUUCGGAAUUACUGGGCGUAAAGGGCGCGUAGGCGGAAUGGUCCGUCCGACGUGAAAGUGCUACCGCUUAACGGAGCAAAGUCGUCGGAAACCGCCAUUCUUGAGACCGGGAGAGGUGAGUGGAAUUGCCAGUGUAGCGGUGGAAUGUGUAGAUACUGGCAAGAACACCGGUGGCGAAGGCGGCUCACUGGCCCGGUUCUGACGCUGAGUGCGCGAAAGCGUGGGGAGCGAACAGGAUUAGAUACCCUGGUAGUCCACGCCCUAAACGGU